rnacentral:tRNA from 1 species
GCCGAAGUGGUGGAAUUUGGUAGACACGCAGGCUUGAGGGGCCUGUGGGCGUUUUUGCCCGUGGAGGUUCAAGUCCUCUCUUCGGCACCA